CAUGUAGGCGGAUUAAUAAGUUUGAAGCGAAAUCCUAUAGCUUAACUAUAGAACUGCUUUGAAAACUGUUAAUCUAGAAUGUGGGAGAGGUAGAUGGAAUUUCUGGUGUAGGGGUAAAAUCCGUAGAGAUCAGAAGGAAUACCGAUUGCGAAGGCGAUCUACUGGAACAUUAUUGACGCUGAGAUGCGAAAGCGUGGGGAGCAAACA
rnacentral:rRNA from 1 species